rnacentral:lncRNA from 1 species
ACUGAUAAGAAUGGAACACUCCCCCGGCAUAACCGAACUCUGGAAUACCACUAUCAAGUUAGGGUACCGUGUUGGGCUGGGCCUACUAUACUAAUACAAAUAAUGGAAAGCAAUAAAGGGAGUUUGGUAAUGGAAAGCAAGAGAAUAUGGAAUGCAAAAGGACUAAUUCCAAGAACAAAAGUGCCAAUAAAGAAUGAAGUGAGCAAGUCAGGAUACCUUUAUUUUGUUAUGAGCUAUAAGCCAUGAAGUAGUCAAUAUCAGAAUUGAGCAGUGCACAAUGAAUUGAACUAGGACUUCUUUUUACUGUAACUCGAGCCUGGGAAUCCGCCUAUGCCAAGAAUCAUCCAACACAGAAAUAGAAACUUACACUCUUGGUAGAAGCCUAUUACCCCGAAAACAAGGCUUUGAUUAGCAUUAAUAAGAGGCUAGGGCAUCCAAUAGUAGACUCAGAGGAUAAAGCGCAAGAGUUUAGCUAUGUAGUAAAAGAAUGAGUAAAAGGAUCCACUGACUAAGGAGUAGAGUCAUCAGUCACAAAACUCAACCCAGCAGUAAAAGAAUGGCACUAUAACCAGACCGAUCAGAACUAAGCUCGGGACUAGCAAUCGCACCCAUGCCUAACAGACCAAGGGGCUUCUAAGACUUUAGCUACCGCUUCUCAGCCUUACAAUCCUUCCUUUCAUUCUAGCUUUACUGGAUUUGAUUCUAACUAGCCAGCUUCUGAGCCUGCCUUCUUGGUUGGGGUAAUCAGUAGGUCCCGUCCCUCCCUACCGCCUUCCAUUCUUUAUUGAA